GGCCAAGCCCAAGGAAGAAUUGUUUCAGAGGUUAUUCCUGAGCUCCAACUGUUCAAGGUGAACUUCCUUCCUGGGUUCCUGAUCUGUUUAUUCAGCCACCACCCUGACACAGGACCUCAUCACCUUACCCCUGGACUCUUCAGUGCCUAACUUGUUGGUUGGUUUCUCCCUCAAGUCUCUCCCCACCCUAAGUCAUUCUCUACUUAACCGGCAAGGUGAGU